rnacentral:rRNA from 1 species
GACGAACGCUGGCGGCGUGCCUAAUACAUGCAAGUCGAACGCUUCUUUCCUCCCGAGUGCUUGCACUCAAUUGGAAAGAGGAGUGGCGGACGGGUGAGUAACACGUGGGUAACCUACCCAUCAGAGGGGGAUGACACUUGGAAACAGGUGCUAAUACCGCAUAACAGUUUAUGCCGCAUGGCAUAAGAGUGAAAGGCGCUUUCGGGUGUCGCUGAUGGAUGGACCCGCGGUGCAUUAGCUAGUUGGUGAGGUAACGGCUCACCAAGGCCACGAUGCAUAGCCGACCUGAGAGGGUGAUCGGACACACUGGGACUGAGACACGGCCCAGACUCCUACGGGAGGCAGCAGUAGGGAAUCUUCGGCAAUGGACGAAAGUCUGACCGAGCAACGCCGCGUGAGUGAAGAAGGUUUUCGGAUCGUAAAACUCUGUUGUUAGAGAAGAACAAGGACGUUAGUAACUGAACGUCCCCUGACGGUAUCUAACCAGAAAGCCACGGCUAACUACGUG